rnacentral:rRNA from 1 species
UUUAACGGCCGCGGUACUCUGACCGUGCGAAGGUAGCAUAAUCACUUGUUCUUUAAAUGGGGACUCGUAUCAACGGCAUCACGAGGGCCAUACUGUCUCCUUUUUCCAAUCAGUGAAACUGAUCUCCCCGUGAAGAAGCGGGGAUAAUCCUAUAAGACGAGAAGACCCCAUGGAGCUUUAAACCCAACAACAACUCUGAGUUACUAAACCACAAAAAUUAAUUGAGCCCUGUAAUUGUUGGUUUUAGGUUGGGGUGACCGCGGAGCAUAAAAUAACCUCCACGACGAACGGGACUAAACCCUUAUCCAUGAACUACCACUCUAAGAAUCAGCACUCUGACUUCUAAUGAUCCGAUUACUCGAUCAACGGACCAAGUUACCCUGGGGAUAACAGCGCCCUCCAUUUCGAGAGCUCCUAUCGACAAAUGGGUUUACGACCUCGAUGUUGGAUCAGGGUAUCCCAGUGGUGCAGCCGCUACUAAAGGUUUGUUUGUUCAACAAUUAAACCCUACGUGAUC